rnacentral:rRNA from 1 species
AUUGAACGCUGGCGGCAGGCCUAACACAUGCAAGUCGAACGGUAACAGAAAGCAGCUUGCUGCUUUGCUGACGAGUGGCGGACGGGUGAGUAAUGUCUGGGAAACUGCCUGAUGGAGGGGGAUAACUACUGGAAACGGUAGCUAAUACCGCAUAACGUCGCAAGACCAAAGAGGGGGACCUUCGGGCCUCUUGCCAUCGGAUGUGCCCAGAUGGGAUUAGCUUGUUGGUGGGGUAACGGCUCACCAAGGCGACGAUCCCUAGCUGGUCUGAGAGGAUGACCAGCCACACUGGAACUGAGACACGGUCCAGACUCCUACGGGAGGCAGCAGUGGGGAAUAUUGCACAAUGGGCGCAAACCUGAUGCAGCCAUGCCGCGUGUAUGAAGAAGGCCUUCGGGUUGUAAAGUACUUUCAGCGGGGAGGAAGGGAGUAAAGUUAAUACCUUUGCUCAUUGACGUUACCCGCAGAAGAAGCACCAGCUAACUCCGUGCCAGCAGCCGCGGUAAUACGGAGGGUGCAAGCGUUAAUCGGAAUUACUGGGCGUAAAGCGCACGCAGGCGGUUUGUUAAGUCAGAUGUGAAAUCCCCGGGCUCAACCUGGGAACUGCAUCUGAUACUGGCAAGCUUGAGUCUCGUAGAGGGGGGUAGAAUUCCAGGUGUAGCGGUGAAAUGCGUAGAGAUCUGGAGGAAUACCGGUGGCGAAGGCGGCCCCCUGGACGAAGACUGACGCUCAGGUGCGAAAGCGUGGGGAGCAAAUAGGAUUAGAUACCCUGGUAGUCCACGCCGUAAACGAUGUCGACUUGGAGGUUGUGCCCUUGAGGCGUGGCUUCCGGAGCUAACGCGUUAAGUCGACCGCCUGGGGAGUACGGCCGCAAGGUUAAAACUCAAAUGAAUUGACGGGGGCCCGCACAAGCGGUGGAGCAUGUGGUUUAAUUCGAUGCAACGCGAAGAACCUUACCUGGUCUUGACAUCCACAGAACUUUCCAGAGAUGGACUGGUGCCUUCGGGAACUGUGAGACAGGUGCUGCAUGGCUGUCGUCAGCUCGUGUUGUGAAAUGUUGGGUUAAGUCCCGCAACGAGCGCAACCCUUAUCCUUUGUUGCCAGCGGUCCGGCCGGGAACUCAAAGGAGACUGCAGUGAUAAACUGGAGGAAGGUGGGGAUGACGUCAGGUCAUCAUGGCCCUUACGACCAGGGCUACACACGUGCUACAAUGGCGCAUACAAAGAGAAGCGACCUCGCGAGAGCAAGCGGACCUCAUAAAGUGCGUCGUAGUCCGGAUUGGAGUCUGCAACUCGACUCCAUGAAGUCGGAAUCGCUAGUAAUCGUGGAUCAGAAUGCCACGGUGAAUACGUUCCCGGGCCUUGUACACACCGCCCGUCACACCAUGGGAGUGGGUUGCAAAAGAAGUAGGUAGCUUAACCUUCGGGAGGGCGCUUACCACUUUGUGAUUCAU